rnacentral:rRNA from 1 species
GUGGUAAUGCCGGAUGCUCCAGUUGACCGCAUGGUCCUCUGGGAAAGCUUUUGCGGUAUGGGAUGGGGUCGCGUCCUAUCAGCUUGAUGGCGGGGUAACGGCCCACCAUGGCUUCGACGGGUAGCCGGCCUGAGAGGGCGACCGGCCACAUUGGGACUGAGAUACGGCCCAGACUCCUACGGGAGGCAGCAGUGGGGAAUAUUGCACAAUGGGCGCAAGCCUGAUGCAGCGACGCCGCGUGCGGGAUGACGGCCUUCGGGUUGUAAACCGCUUUUGACUGGGAGCAAGCCCUUCGGGGUGAGUGUACCUUUCGAAUAAGCACCGGCUAACUACGUGCCAGCAGCCGCGGUAAUACGUAGGGUGCAAGCGUUAUCCGGAAUUAUUGGGCGUAAAGGGCUCGUAGGCGGUUCGUCGCGUCCGGUGUGAAAGUCCAUCGCUUAACGGUGGAUCCGCGCCGGGUACGGGCGGGCUUGAGUGCGGUAGGGGAGACUGGAAUUCCCGGUGUAACGGUGGAAUGUGUAGAUAUCGGAAAGAAC